ensembl:snoRNA small nucleolar RNA SNORA31
UUGCAUCCACUGAUAGACCUGAAGCAGACAUCCUUGGCUUCUGGUUUGCACAGAGAUGCUAAAUUUAACCUUCCUUGCGCUUUCUGACUGCUUGGCUCUAUAGCAGUACAGAUUGAAAUGAGGAAUACAUGC